rnacentral:rRNA from 1 species
UACGGAGGGUGCGAGCGUUGUCCGGAAUCACUGGGCGUAAAGGGCGCGUAGGCGGCGCGGCAAGUCUGUGGUGAAAGCCCGAGGCUCAACUUCGGGUCGGCCAUGGAUACUGCUGCGCUCGAGUACUGUAGAGGCAGGUGGAAUUCCGGGUGUAGCGGUGGAAUGCGUAGAGAUCCGGAAGAACACCGGUGGCGAAGGCGGUCUGCUGGGCAGUAGCUGACGCUGAGGCGCGACAGCGUGGGGAGCGAACAGG